rnacentral:rRNA from 1 species
CCCUGGUAGUCCACGCCGUAAACGAUGUCUACUUGGAGGUUGUGGCCUUGAGCCGUGGCUUUCGGAGCUAACGCGUUAAGUAGACCGCCUGGGGAGUACGGUCGCAAGAUUAAAACUCAAAUGAAUUGACGGGGGCCCGCACAAGCGGUGGAGCAUGUGGUUUAAUUCGAUGCAACGCGAAGAACCUUACCUACUCUUGACAUCCAGAGAACUUUCCAGAGAUGGAUUGGUGCCUUCGGGAACUCUGAGACAGGUGCUGCAUGGCUGUCGUCAGCUCGUGUUGUGAAAUGUUGGGUUAAGUCCCGCAACGAGCGCAACUCUUAUCCUUGUUUGCCAGCGAGUAAUGUCGGGAACUCCAGGGAGACUGCCGGUGAUAAACCGGAGGAAGGUGGGGACGACGUCAAGUCAUCAUGGCCCUUACGAGUAGGGCUACACACGUGCUACAAUGGCGCAUACAGAGGGCAGCCAACUUGCGAGAGUGAGCGAAUCCCAAAAAGUGCGUCGUAGUCCGGAUCGGAGUCCGCAACUCGACUCCGUGAAGUCGGAAUCGCUAGUAAUCGCGGAUCAGAAUGCCACGGUGAAUACGUUCCCGGGCCUUGUACACACCGCCCGUCACACCAUGGGAGUGGGCUGCAAAAGAAGUAGGUAGUUUAACCUUCGGGGGGGCGCU